ACAGGAGCAGGAGCUUGGGAUUUCACAUGUGGGAAGAGGAGAACCUGCAGGGGCUUGUCAGGAUGCAGUUGCUGACAUUUACAUCGUUCUUUCUCCAAGCAGAGCCUCGUCCUUGGAAGCAGGGAGCAGCCUGGCCUUCUGGAAUGCUUCAUCCUUCUCCUCUGGAGAGGGCUUUUAGUAGCAGAGCUGAUCUCUUCCCUAGCCUGGGCCUUCAUAAACCGAGCCCAAUUAUUCCGAGGCAGAAAAAUCUGUGCUGUAAUGACAGAAUGAAAUGUCCUCAGGAGUUUGCGCUUAGCCUUAAGUUACCUUUUAUAAAUAGGUUAACAGCUGGAGGGCCCGUGGUUGUUUAAAGGGAAAAGACAUACAGGACAUGCCCUAUAUGAUAUGUUCCAUCCUAAGCAAUUCUGCCACUCUGCUGAUUUAUAUCUGCAGAUUAAAGGAUUUGCCUUUCAAUCAAAUUAUUCUCCUCAAACUCCCAAGUGGGGACAGAGGGGAUUGUGACAUUCUCCACUCGGUGCCGCUCUCCCUGGUGCAGCCACGGAUGUUUUCUUCCUUGCUGUGCGAAACACGCCGCUCCCAAAUGACUCCUGAUCACUUUGAUGGUGCCCUCCUGCUUUUGGUGAACUCUCCUGAAUCUCCUCGCAGUGUGCUGUGGGAAUUGCCUUUGGAAAGACUGUUCCACCUCCAUGCAUUUCCUGCAUCGCUCAUCCCUGUUCCAAUACUUCCAUUACUCUUCAUCUCCCUUCCCUUACAUCUCUAACACCUUGUUCCUCUUGCUGCCAGCCUGGCCAGAGGUCAGGACACUCUAUGCACAGUAGUGUCCAAGUCUGAUUUUGGAAAUGCCACUUUAGAAACCUGACUCUCAUGAAGUUCCCCUUGCCAUGAAGAUGUUUUUGGCUGCCUGAAGAAUUCUCAGGACGUUUUCUGAUGUUUAUUUUCAGUUUGGGCAGCCAGGCCAUUUGCAUGCACCCCGUGAAGGACAUGUGUGCUGGGAAGGACACGUGUGCUGCUCAUCCUGAGCCGUGCAGCCACUGCCGGGCCCGUCCUGCAUGCUCAGCACUUCAGGCAUGCAAAUAAAGGGUGUGUGGCUUUCA
rnacentral:lncRNA from 1 species